rnacentral:tRNA from 1 species
GCUCGGAUGGUGGAAUCGGUAGACACGCAAGACUUAAAAUCUUGUAACCAUUGCGGUUGUGCGGGUUCAAGUCCCGCUCCGAGUA